GAUGAACGCUGGCGGCGUGCCUAAUACAUGCAAGUCGAACGCGAGCCUUCGGGCUCGAGUGGCGAACGGGUGAGUAAUACGUAAGCAACCUGGCCUUUACAGGGGGAUAACUGAUGGAAACGUCAGCUAAGACCGCAUAGGUACAGAGAUCGCAUGAUAACUGUAUUAAAAGUGCUACGGGACUGGUAGAGGAUGGGCUUACGGCGCAUUAGCUUGUUGGAGGGGUAACGGCCCACCAAGGCGACGAUGCGUAGCCGACCUGAGAGGGUGACCGGCCACACUGGGACUGAGACACGGCCCAGACUCCUACGGGAGGCAGCAGUAGGGAAUUUUCGGCAAUGGGGGGAACCCUGACCGAGCAACGCCGCGUGAAGGAAGAAGGAAUUCGUUCUGUAAACUUCUGUUAUAAAGGAAGAACGGCACAUAUAGGGAAUGAUAUGUGAGUGACGGUACUUUAUGAGGAAGCCACGGCUAACUACGUGCCAGCAGCCGCGGUAAUACGUAGGUGGCGAGCGUUAUCCGGAAUUAUUGGGCGUAAAGAGGGAGCAGGCGGCAGCAAGGGUCUGUGGUGAAAGGCUGAAGCUUAACUUCAGUGUGCCAGAGAAACCGGGCAGCUAGAGUGCAGGAGAGGAUCGUGGAAUUCCAUGUGUAGCGGUGAAAUGCGUAGAUAUAUGGAGGAACACCAGUGGCGAAGGCGACGAUCUGGACUGCAACUGACGCUCAGUCCCGAAAGCGUGGGGAGCAAAUAGGAUUAGAUACCCUAGUAGUCCACGCCGUA
rnacentral:rRNA from 1 species